CCCCCUGUUGCUAGUCAUUCUUGAGAUCAUGUCGAUGACACCAGCAGUUGGAUUGUUAUCGAGGUUGUCAUUCACAUUGGUAUUGGGCCGAUGUAAUCCCUUCACUAGGCCUUUUUCUUUGUUUCGAACAUAUUCCCCAAGAUAUCCUUGACGGAUCAGAUCCUCGAUCUCAUCCUUCAGCUGGCGAUACUUCUCAGUGUUGUGGUCAUGAUCUCAAUGGAAGUGACAAUACUUCUUCUGAUUCCUUUGGCUUGGUUUUGACCUCAUUUUUUUUUGCCAGUGUAUGUAGUC
rnacentral:lncRNA from 1 species